GGAAAGCUUUCUUGAAGUUCUACAGUUAACUCUCUGAUCCGAAUUCCAAGGGAGAUAGCGUUUUGUUCGGAUUAUAUAGAGAUUCAGAUGGUAGAAAGGCUCCCUUUUUCAAAUUUCAGGCUUGAAGCGUGAAAAUUCGGAUUAGAGAGAGAAAUAGGAAAAUUUGUGAAAAGGAAAAGUGGUGAAAAUGAAAAAAUGAGCAAUAUAAUCUUUGUGAUACGAUUUAUUUAUUGCUGCAAAAGUGUUCAAUCGAUUGUUUCUUGUUUGAUAAAUUGAUCGGGAUCAUCAUCCUCAAUAUCGUUUUCACAAUUACGUCCACUCAUUUCGGCAAUGAUAUCUACAUCAGAAAUACAAUACAGGAUACGCUGAUCUCGAAGUCAAUAUCAACGAUCUUGUCUGCUGUUAAUUCGAAGUCCACGUUGAAUUUAUCACUUUAAUCACUUAAAGACCCUGUAAAUUUUCGACGACCUCUUUUUUUUUAUUCAAACUCGCGAAUGGGUCAUCAUCGUCGUUUAAAGCCUUCUAGAGAGACUCUUUAGAAACACCAGAUAUUUUGAAGCAGUUUAAAAGUUUUAAGUUUCAUCAAAUUGACGGUGACUUAUUCGUUCGAAUUAUAGAAAGAUUCGAAUAAUAGAGAUUCGGAUUAGAGAGAGUCAACUGUAUGCCAUUAUGGAAAAUUGAAAAAAUUGUUUUGUUUCAAGUUAUUUCGGUUUAAAACGUUUAUCAUAACAGAAAGAAAGUUUAUUUAGUCGUGUCUGUCAAGCAUUUGGAAAAUUGUCAAGCAGCAUGCUUUGAACACGUGUAAAUAUCAGACCAUUUCCAUUACGAUGUACUCCCCCUCAUCAAUUUAAAAUUACGAAACUCCUGAUAAGUUGCUUUUAUACCAAAGCUUUUUAUCAUCAACAACGGAGUGCCGCAAUAUCAAUAACAGCUGUAAUUGAACAUUGCUUCCACGAAGUCCGAAAGGUUGACGACCUUUUUUAAAACGUGUUUUUAUUGCGAUGUAACAACGAAUUUUUUUAUAAGCUAUUCAGAAGAAGUGAAAGGAAAGAUUGAAAAUGUAUUUGCUUUGACUACAAGAAGGGUCGAAAUCAACUACUAGAAUUUUCUAUUAAUUAAUGCAACUCUUGUUACCAUAUUUCCAUAUUAUCAACAUCGAUACAAUUUAAAACAAAGUCAGUCAACAAAAAAAAAAAUCGAUAAUGUUCGCCGGAGACUCGAUAACGUUAUCGGUUACAAACGUAGAGAUAUUUUUAGUAACAUUUGAUUGCUUGGCUUUAAUCGGCUGUGGUCUUUCAUUCUUAUUAAAAGCUUCAGAAUCCACGGCGGCAUGUUUUUCACCGAGUUUGGCAUUCAUCAUAAAAAACGAGAACAAGAAACUUGUGCACACAGUGGAGUUGAUCUGGAGAAUUUCAGUACUAUGUUGUAUUCUGUUAAUGAUUUUAGUAUCCUGCACAACCCGGUUGGAAGACACGGGAUACUGUUUAUUGUUAAUGUGCGUUCAUGUUGCUGUUAUAACGAUUAACUUUGCGACGUUGCAUGUCGCAAUACUUGGGGUCGAGGAUUCGACCAAGAAAAGUCUACUCCGAAAAAAAAGUGUGUUGUUAAAUAUUUAGAAAUAAACAAACUUUAUAUACAUACAUUAGAUAUUUUUAUUAAUUUAAUAUUAUCUUUCUUUAAAAGGA